CCUACGGGAGGCAGCAGUGAGGAAUAUUGGUCAAUGAACGAGAGUCUGAUCCAGCCACGUAGCGUGAACGAUGAAUGCCCUCUGGGUUGUAAACUUCUUUUAUAUGGGAAUAAAUUGUUCCACGUGUGGGAUUUUAUAUGUACCAUAUGAAUACAGAUCGGCUAACCCCGUGACAGCAGCCGCGGUAAUACGGAGGAUCCGAGCGUUGUCCUGAUUUAUUGGGUUUAAAGGGAGCGUAGGUGGAUUGUUAAGUCAGUUAUGAAAGUGUGUGGCGCAACCGUAACAGUGCAGUUGAUACUGGCAGUCUUGAGUACAGUAGAGGUGGGCGGAAUUCGUGGUGUAGCGGUGAAAUGCUUAGAUAUCACGAAGAACUCCGAGUGCGAAGGCAGCUCACUGGACUGCAACUGACACUGAGGCUCGAAAGUGUGGGUAUCAAACAGGAUUAGAUACCCUAGUAGUC
rnacentral:rRNA from 1 species